CACGUAGGGGGCAAGCGUUGUCCGGAUUUAUUGGGCGUAAAGAGCUCGUAGGUGGCUUAGUAAGUCGGGUGUGAAACCUCCAGGCUCAACCUGGAGACGCCACCCGAUACUGCUAUAGCUUGAGUCCGGUAGGGGAGUGGGGAAUUCCUGGUGUAGCGGUGGAAUGCGCAGAUAUCAGGAGGAACACCCGUGGCGAAGGCGGCUCUCUGGGACGGUACUGACGCUGAGACGCGAAAGCGUGGGGAGCGAACAGG
rnacentral:rRNA from 1 species